GACGGAGGGUGCGGGCGUUAUUCGUUUUGAUUGGGUGUAAAGGGUACGUAGGUGGCUCAUAGUGUUUUGGCUAAAAUUGCGGAGUGUUCCUAUGCAAAUGCCUUCUAUAACGUGAGCUUGUGUUGGGGAUAGGUAGGGGCAAGUUCUCAUGAAGGGGUAAAAUCCUACUAUAUGAGAACGAACGUCAGCCGGCGAAGGCGCCUUUCCAGCCCCAACAGACGCUAAGGUACGGAAGCUUGGGGAGCAAACGGG
rnacentral:rRNA from 1 species